ACUGCCCCAAUUUCUCUCGUUCUCCCAUAUAUCUUCUUCUUCUUUUCUCCUAAAAAUCCCUAGAAAUGUCGAUCGGGAGUUUAUCUUUUUAUUUAUUGGAGAUUGACUCGAAAGAACUAUGGAGAGUCUUCCUCUCAUCGACGUCUUCUCGGAGGACGAUCCCCUCAUCUUCGCGUCCUUACAAUGCCGCUCCAGAUUUGCCCUCCUUAGGUACUUGUACAUCUCGUUCUUUGUUUUUUACUCCCAUUUCGGCAUGGAUUUUGUGGCGUUUGAUGGGCAAUGCACUUUUUUCCUGGUAUUAUUUUUCUUGAGUUUUGGGGGGCAAGAAUUGAGAUUUAGGGUUUCUUGGUUCCUUUCUAGACAUGGAUUGGCGCGAUCCGCUUUGUUCCUGCGUUUUGUUCUUGCGCUUCGAUGAGGUUUGGAUAAGGGGGAGACUUUGUAUCGAAUGUUUGGUUUCCUUCUGGUCCUUUUGAAGUUUAAGCAUGUGCAAAUUGUCUGCGAAGGGAAUUGAUUUGGUUCUUGAUGCGUGAUUCUAUUGGUUCGAUCAAGAAUUUGGUUGCAAAAUGGAAAGUAAAUAGUAUCCAUAGAGUUUUUCGGACCACAAGAAUCCAUGAUUGUUUGUAACGAUGUUUGGGAGUUAUUAUAUCUUAUAACGAACGAAACUUAUAAUAUUCCAUCUAUACUGAAGUUCACCAUUGCGUUGAACUGCUGACACUCUCCCUGCAGUCAUGUCCUCUAUGGGACUACCUCACUUGUAUUGCAAAUUUGUUAUAGGAUUUAGCUGCGUGAUGACUCAUUGGCUUGACCUUCAGGCAGAUUACUCAAUGAAAUGACUCUCCUUGCACACGGAAAAGUCUCAAUAUUAUAUUCCCAUGCAAGAGAAAAUUUUGGCAUUUUAUACAGUUAACUUGUUGCAUUUAUCAAUUAUAUACUUCAUUUCCCAAUUCGGCUUUUGAUUGUACGUUACAAUUUUUAUUAGGUUAUGUAUUGUGUAGUUUUAUCAUUUUUUUGGACAUAUGUGGUGUGAAAAAAUUAGACAUCAGAAAUAUGAGCUCAAUAAAGUUGAUGAGCAUGUGUUUCCUUCCAUUUAAACAUUUCAGUUAUUUAAAAUUCAUAACAUGGUUGUGCAUGAUCAUUUUAUCCUUUAUUAUAUAAUCAACACUUGGAGUUGUCAUGACCGGCUAACCAAUCAAUUGUUUUUUACGUAAUAUGUGAGAGGCAUGCUGAUCCUUAAGCCCCCAUACUGUUCUCAUGCUUCAAUUGGUGGAACAAUUCUGGUCUAAGUCUGUAAAGCUUUCAGCAUUGGUAUGUAAUCUUCGACCCCACGAUGCAACUUCAAAAAAGAAUCUUGGAUUCCUCCUGUAGCGUAUGGAGGAGACACGUCCCUUGUGCUCGAUGUUGAGACAUUUUCAGAGGCUGGCCAAUUGCAAAACAUGUUUAGAAGUACCACUGGUAUCAGUAGCCCUGUUGGGGUAAACAAACUGAACCCCAGUAAGCUUUGAUUAUUAUGACCUGCAGCGUCCACAAAGUUUGAUCCUUCACACAUCAAAUUGACAAUCUUGUCUUCUGUUCGUAACCAUGGAGCCUGAAUCACCUACAUGUCUGCAACAACUAUUAAAACAUUCUGAAUUAGGUGGCACUACGAGAUGCAAAAAGUCAUGUCUUGUGCCCUGAUGUUGCCAUGAUUUGCCUCCUUGUUCGAGCAAAGAAAGCCUUUCUAAGGUAAGCAAAGGCAGUGUGGUUGAUACAUCUGAAUUCGGUCGGUUAUCCAAUCCAGGUGCUGGAGAGCAAGCCAAUCAUGACCAUUUAAAGUUUAUAACUGCAUUUCCAAUCGCAACUGAAUCUGUAAUAACUAAUGGUAAAAGAUGGUGUGUCAUAGUAAAAUGAAGACAUAUGAGCAACCAUCAUGCGUGUGCAUAAAGGAGAGCCAUAUGGAAAGUGACUUCUAUUCAGUUACCCGAAGCAUGGAGAAGAGAAUUUGUUUUCUGUUGAUAAAACCGAAGUCUGGGGCAAAAACUUGCCGGCUAAGAAUCUGAAGCUGCCAACUGUAGGACUCAUGGAGGAAAUGGUCUGGAUGUUUGCUUCCUCGUUUGUGCUCUUGAAAGCAGUCCACCGGGGCAUUGUUUGACCUUGCAACUCGUGUUGUGGAUGGUAUCUGAAGGAGAUCUCUACAUGCUCAAACCGUGGGAAUCUGACUCAAAUUUGAAGGAACAUUUUUCAUUUUUUAGGGCAUACCUUUAAUUCUAUUCUGUUCUGCGACUUGCUGGAGUUAAUUUUAUGAAACUUAGGAUUCUAGAAG